GGCGGCGUGCUUAACACAUGCAAGUCGAACGAGACGAUUUAGAAGCUUGCUUUUAUUGAGUCGAGUGGCAAACGGGUGAGUAACGCGUAGACAACCUGCCGCAAAGAUGGGGACAACAGUCCGAAAGGACUGCUAAUACCGAAUGUUGUAUCUCUUCCGCAUGAAAGAGAUAUUAAAGAUGGCCUCUACUUGUAAGCUAUCGCUUUGCGAUGGGUCUGCGUCUGAUUAGCUAGUUGGUGGGGCAACGGCCUACCAAGGCGACGAUCAGUAGCCGGUCUGAGAGGAUGAACGGCCACAUUGGAACUGAGACACGGUCCAGACUCCUACGGGAGGCAGCAGUGGGGAAUCUUCCGCAAUGGGCGAAAGCCUGACGGAGCAACGCCGCGUGAGUGAAGAAGGUCUUCGGAUCGUAAAGCUCUGUUGUCGGGGACGAAUGUUGAGACCUAGAACAUAGGUUUCAAAUGACGGUACCUGACGAGGAAGCCACGGCUAACUACGUG
rnacentral:rRNA from 1 species